GUCCACGCUGUAAACGAUGAGCGCUAGGUGUUGUGGGUGUUGACCCCCGCAGUGCCGCAGCUAACGCAUUAAGCGCUCCGCCUGGGAAGUACGGCCGCAAGGCUAAAACUCAAAGGAAUUGACGGGGGCCCCGCACAAGCGGUGGAGCAUGUGGUUUAAUUCGACGCAACGCGCAGAACCUUACCUGGUCUUGACAUCCUGGGAAUCCGCCGGAGACGGCGGGGUGCCCGCAAGGGAGCCCAGAGACAGGUGCUGCAUGGCUGUCGU
rnacentral:rRNA from 1 species